AGCGGCGAACGGGUGAGUAACACGUAGGUGAUCUGCCCAUCAGACGGGGACAACGAUUGGAAACGAUCGCUAAUACCGGAUAGGACGAAAGUUUAAAGGUGCUUCUGGCACCGCUGAUGGAUGAGCCUGCGGCGCAUUAGCUAGUUGGUAGGGUAAAGGCCUACCAAGGCGACGAUGCGUAGCCGACCUGAGAGGGUGAACGGCCACACUGGGACUGAGACACGGCCCAGACUCCUACGGGAGGCAGCAGUAGGGAAUCUUCGGCAAUGGGCGAAAGCCUGACCGAGCAACGCCGCGUGAAUGAUGAAGGCCUUCGGGUUGUAAAAUUCUGUUAUAAGGGAAGAACGACUUUAGUAGGAAAUGGCUAGAGUGUGACGGUACCUUAUGAGAAAGCCACGGCUAACUACGUGCCAGCAGCCGCGGUAAUACGUAGGUGGCGAGCGUUAUCCGGAAUUAUUGGGCGUAAAGAGCGCGCGGGUGGUUGAUUAAGUCUGAUGUGAAAGCCCACGGCUUAACCGUGGAGGGUCAUUGGAAACUGGUCGACUUGAGUGCAGAAGAGGGAAGUGGAAUUCCAUGUGCAGCGGUGAAAUGCGUAGAGAUAUGGAGGAACACCAGUGGCGAAGGCGGCUUCCUGGUCUGUAACUGACACUGAGGCGCGAAAGCGUGGGGAGCAAACAGGAUUAGAUACCCUGGUAGUCCACGCCGUAAACGAUGAGUGCUAAGUGU
rnacentral:rRNA from 1 species